rnacentral:rRNA from 1 species
UACAGGGGGUGCAAGCGUUAAUCGGAAUUACUGGGCGUAAAGCGUGCGUAGUCGGUUAUUUAAGUCGGGUGUGAAAUCCCCGGGCUCAACCUGGGAAUUGCAUUCGAUACUGGAUAGCUAGAGUUCGGCAGAGGGAAGCGGAAUUUCGGGUGUAGCGGUGAAAUGCGUAGAUAUCUGGAGGAACACCGGUGGCGAAGGCGGCAUCCUGGACCGAGACUGACACUGAGGAGCGAAAGCCAGGGGAGCAAACGGG